rnacentral:misc_RNA from 1 species
AGUUUGUGUCGAUCUCUAACAGCUUUCUUCGUCUUUGCUUACAGGUCACGAUCAUUGGAAACCAGUUAACAUGCAUCGACACGGGAGGAGCCAGGAGGGUGAAGACUUAAACCUCGGCAACUCUUCAACACAACAGUCCCAGAUGCAUUUGCUUUCCAUCUUCAUAGCAUCGGUCUCUAAAAACUUGAUUUCCAAUGCUUUAAACUCAACAGCGGCACUCUUUCGUUCUUCGAAGUCAGAAUCCUCAACCAUUCAUGCUUCGAACACCAAGCUCUCUUCUUCCAGCGCUCUGACAUUCCCACCAGAAAAUUCCAAAACUACUAUCCAUAAACUAGCCUUGAGCUCCAGGCCAGGCCCAUCCUCGACACUCAGAGGUAUACACACUUUCCUCCUUCUCUUCCUCCUCCUGGCCUCUUGUCCCAGCUGGGCAUCCUCGUCCUCUACUCGUAGGAUGAACUCUCGAUUCCUCGACCUUGGUUUCAACGAACACUUCUCCAACUACACUCAGGUUUACCGAGCUAUAGACGAAGGGAUGAGAGACCCCCGGCGUCUCAACGCUGCCUUCAGGAGCGUGGACUUGGGUCGCUCUCUCAACGUCUUCGACGUGGCUCGGGCCAUCGUCCCAGAUGAGACCGACAAUGAGAUAUCUCACGAUGCCCUUGUCCUCCUCAUGAACGCACUCCUGCAGGACAAUUCCAUAGACGAGGACUUAGGUAACUACAUCGCUGGGGAGGGAGACGCCUUGCACGUCCAACAGCCCCCCACAAGGGCGACAGUGGCUUCCCUCCCCACUCUUGGUGGUGUCUCCAGCCCUACAACAACAACCACCACCACUACCACCACUACCACCACUACUACCACUAUGUUGCCCAACAUUACCCAGACCAGAGGCAUUUUUGACUUCUUGGCCAAUCCCUUCGCUAUCCCGCAGAAGUGCUGGUACAAAAGUAAUCAGUAUGACUGCGGACUAUCGGUUUCCUGUGUGUUCCAGGGCUCUAAACCCAUCGAUUUGUGCUCCGGGGGCAUGAUAUGGUCAUGCUGUGUGCCCCGAAACAAGGUAGAUGCGGUCGACGACAAUCUUGGAGCCAUCGGUAAUGACGUCAGUCCCCAUCAGUUCUUCAGCGAGUCCAGCCGCCCCAGCUCCUCCUUCAACCAUCACAGCAAUCGACCCCUUGACAGACCCUCACACUUUGAUUCUGACUUUGAAAACGACGAUGAUAGCUUUUUCCCCAAUACACACAGACCCUCUUCUAUUCUCAGACCACACCGGCCUAACGAUAGACCUCACAGACCGCCCCAUAGACCACCGCGGCCGCCCCCUUUCCGUCGACCAGAAACUGCGAGACCUAUUCUCGACUUCGACGAUAAUUUUAGUAGUUUUAAUCGGCCGCAAAAUACCUUUAAUCACUUUGACUCGUUUGACAACCGACCUCUCGACUUCCCACGCCCUGGAUCGAGUCGUCCACGUCCACCAUUUUUGCCUGCUGGUCCUACCGGGUCUGCUGUUAAUCCUAAUGGGUGCGGGGAGACGUACACGCGUACCAACAGGAUCGUGGGAGGCAGCGACGCGGCCUUCGGGACCCACCCGUGGCAGGUGGCCAUCAUCAAGGAGUCCUUCCUCAGCAAGCGUAUAGCGUGUGGAGGAGCUCUGCUCAACGAGUUCUGGGUCAUCACGGCCGCUCACUGCGUCUACUCGACGCCGAUCAGUAACAUGAAGGUUCGUCUGGGGGAAUGGAAUGUGAGGCAACAGAGCGAGAAGUUGCCUCACGAGGACUUCGAUGUCGCCAAAAAGGAAGUACAUCCGCAGUACCAGGCGGCCGAUUUCCAGAACGACGUAGCGUUGGUGAAAGUCACCCGGAAGAUCGUCUACAAGGAGCAUAUCAUUCCUGUGUGUCUACCGACGCAAGGUUCCUCUUACAUUGGGGAGUAUGGUACGGUCACAGGAUGGGGGCGUCUCUCUCAUGGUGUGUCGUCGACGCCAGAGGUGCUGCAGGAGGUGGACGUGGAGGUCCUGAGGAACGAUGUGUGUCAGUCGUGGUUCAAAGCUGCCGGCAGGAGGGAGACCAUCUACGACGUGUUCCUCUGUGCUGGCUACAAAGACGGUGGCAAGGACAGCUGUCAGGGUGACUCUGGAGGGCCACUGACAGUCAGCAGAAAUGGAAAAGCCAGUUUGGCUGGACUAGUCUCUUGGGGCAUCGCCUGCGGACGUACAAACCUGCCAGGAGUGUAUACUAAUGUGACUAUGUACAUCGACUGGAUACGAGAGAAGAUCCAUUAUUAAGAAUCGCACGACUGACCUCAGACAUAUGUCUGUUCUUAGACAUGGGUGUUUUAACAUGGGGACUCGGGUAGUCCGUUGACCCUCAUGAGCAAUGGCCGUCGUCAUCUCAUUGGUCUAGUCAGCUGGGGUAUUGGAUGUGCUCGCCGUCAUCUGCCUGGAGUAUAUACUAAUAUUGCCUUAUUUUCUGACUGGAU